UGAAAUGGAAGCGAUAAUUCUAUGGCGAGCUCCUAUAUCUGCGAGCCAAUUAGUUUGCAAUUUUUUGGCAGCAAGAUGAAACGUAUUUCGCUCGGGCUCCUGCUAAUGGCUGUAUCGAUUGUGGCUGUAACUGGUGGAACAUAUAGUUUUGAAUUGGACAACUUGAAAUCAGAAGAAAGUUCCUAUCUUCCCGGCAAUGUUAAGCAAGUUAAGCUUGAGGUUAACCCUCAAUUCGCACAAUCUAUGCCGGUGGACUAUAUUAAACAUCUAAAUGAUGUCAUAUCUUCUGGAAAUUUUCUUGAAAAUGAGGCUCCUGAAAAGAAUAGAAAUGUUCCAGGUAAUGGACAAGAUCUAAAUGAUGCAUGCCAGAAUGAAACCCAAAGUGGAGAAGCGGGGCGAGAACCAAAUCGAAAAGAAGGCACAAAUCAUGCUGGAACUAUUGAUAAAACUGAAAUACGCAUUCAAAUAAUUUCUUCAAAAUAUAACCAAGAUGAGAGCAGUUCUUCCAGCAGCGAAAGUAAGGAGCAGAAUGAAAAAGUGGCUAAACACAACAUUGAUAAACCUUGUGCUGAGAAAACGGUUGAGAAAACUCAAAGUUCGUCAACCAGAAAAGAGAGUCGCGAGCAGAAUCAAGGAGUAGGGCAAACUGAAUGCGAAUGCGAAACUUCUACGCCCCAUGGAGAACUAGAAGCUUCUCCAGUUUAUUGAAGACCAACAAUAAAUUUCCAGCAAAAUGCCCAAAAUUGUUAUACGCAAAUUUGAGGACUGCAAGCCCAAAAUAUAAUUGCCGAUGGCUCUAAUCAGCUUUAUAUUUGA